GAGCUGCACCAGAAGGCACGGGAGUGCAUCUACAUGAACUUUGCUGAGGUCUCCAAGCAGGAAGAAUUCCUGGCCCUGUCCCACUGCCAGCUGGUGACCCUGGUGACCCUGGUGGCCCCAGGGGGGUAUCAGGACUGUUCUUGGGGUGGUCCCUCACCCCGUUUUCCCCAUUGCAGGUCUCCAAGCAGGAGGAGUUCCUGGCCCUGUCCCACUACCAGGACUGGUUUUAGGGUGGUCCCUCACUCCCGUUUCCCCAAUCCCACAGGUCUCCAAGCAGGAAGAAUUCCUGGCCCUGUCCCACUGCCAGCUGGUGACCCUGGUGACCCUGGUGGGGUAUCAGGACUGUUCUUGGGGUGGUCCCUCACCCCCUUCUCCCCAUUGCAGGUCUCGAAGCAGGAAGAAUUCCUGGCCCUGUCCCACUGCCAGCUGGU